rnacentral:misc_RNA from 1 species
GCGUCGACGAGGAGUUGAAGAAGUGAAUUAGAAGGUGAAGUACGGCGUCGUUUGGAAGAAGGGGCUAUGGUUGAAUGUUCUGGUGGCGGGCGAUGCGGUUGGUAAACGUAGAGCACGUAACGGAGGUUUGUAGCUGAAAUUUAGGAUUUCGACUUGCGUUGAAAUGAAGGACGACAGCGCCGGCGGGCAUGUACAGUGCGACGCUUUUGUGUAACCG